rnacentral:rRNA from 1 species
GAGUUGUAAUUUAAAGAAGCGUUUUCGGUGGCAGCCUGGGUAUAAAUCCUUUGGAAUAGGGUAUCAUAGAGGGUGAGAAUCCCGUCUUUGACCUAGUGCAUGCUACUAUGUGAUACGUUUUCAAAGAGUCGAGUUGUUUGGGAAUGCAGCUCAAAAUGGGUGGGAAAUUUCAUCUAAAGCUAAAUAUUGGCGAGAGACCGAUAGCGAACAAGUACCGGGAGGGAAAGAUGAAAAGAACUUUGAGAAGAGAGUUAAACAGCGCGUGAAAUUGUUGAAAGGGAAACGUUUGACACCAGCCANGUCGGGGNAAAAUCA